CAUUACAGCUCCGCCUGGGAGCUUUAGCAUCACGGAGGGAAAUAUAGGUCUGGCUCUUUGUCUUCUGCUUUUUGUGACAAAGGAAUUCCCAUCUGAAUCGCUCUGCUCUGUCCAAGCCCCCUCCGAGCCUCUGGGUUAGCAGCAGUCAGUCUUUGCAGUGUUCUGACGUCAUCCCGUGUGUGCAUAAGCUCCGCUAUUGUCUUACGGCGAGCAGGGGCUGGGGAUUGCAGUAUCUGGUGGCUGAUACCUAUUCCUGCCUGCCGGUAUCACGGAAAGGACGCUGGCCUGCCCUUAUCACUCGGAUUUAAAACAGAAGCUCCUGGUUUUUGCUUCCUGAAGAAGGACCUUCACUGCGGUUGCAAGGAAAAGCUGUCUGCGGUGUUGAGCAGAGGACGGGAGAGGAGGAGAGAGAAGAAUCUGGCAGCUUGGAUAGCCUGGACUGCAUUGUCUGGCUUCAUGACCCCUGCUGCGUAGCAGUCUCAUCCCUACUCUCAUACACUCCCUCUGUCUUCCACUCUUUUCUUCUUUGCUUUUUAAAAUAGCAGCAUCUGGGGAGAGCCAUGUUUGGCACUGAAUCUUCAUUGAGUCUGUUUCUGAA